UAAGCCUGACGUAUAUUUUGAAAGAAAUUAUAUCAUUGUGGUUUUGUUUUUGACCAGUAGUGUACCGGCUAAUAUAAAACAUAACAACCAUGUUAUAUUGGGCAUAACCAUAAGAAUACAGUGUGCUGAUGUUAUUCAGGUGUAAGGAAUUUAUGCAAGGUUGGAUUUACACUCCAGGUACCCUAGAAGCAAAGAAUACAAAUAUAUAUAUAAUGGGUUAUAUGGAGUUGGAGGUUAGUCAAAAUAGGCUAAGCUUGAGUAUGAAGAUGAUGGGGUUACUGUCACAUUAUCCAUGACUCCUAUAAUGCUUAGUGGUAAAUCCUACCCUGAAUAUGGUUGCAGCAUUUCUUUAAGUGGUUAUUAACCACAAUAAGUAUAAAGCAACAUUAUGUAAUGUCCAUGUCAUGAAUGAUAGAUGAGAGAAUCUAAGGCGAGACCAGGAACUGAUUGAGGAUUGAAUCUUUACAUUAGGAAAAUGGGCAGACUAGAUGGGCCAAAUUGUUCUGCCAUUAAAUUUGAGAUCAUGGUGGAGCAUGGCACUACCUGUAUCUAUGAUCUGUUACAAUGCAAUGCCCCUUGACAUUUAAGUUAAUGCUGUGAAAUCGGGACCCUGACUAAAGGAUCAAGAUGCUAAUGAAUAUGUUGCUGUAGCACAAAGCACAAUCAAAGAGGCAUUUGCGGCCAUGAAUAGAGGUGCUGAUUGAGAUCAAAAGCUGUAGACUUGCAGAUUCUGACACUAAGUCUUCAGACAAACCAGGAAAAGAA